CCCUUAGAUGUUCUGGGCCGCACGCGCGCUACACUGACGGAUUCAACGAGCUUACAACCUUGACCGAAAGGUCUGGGUAAUCUCCAAAAUCCGUCGUGAUGGGGAUAGAUUAUUGCAAUUAUUAAUCUUCAACGAGGAAUGCCUAGUAAGCGCAAGUCAUCAGCUUGCGUUGAUUACGUCCCUGCCCUUUGUACACACCGCCCGUCGCUCCUACCGAUUGAAUGGUCCGGUGAAGCGUUUGGACUAUGGUUUUCUGAUGGUCCGCCGUUGGAUUACCGUGGGAAGUUCGUUAAACCUUAUCAUUUAGAGGAAGGAGAAGUCGUAACA
rnacentral:rRNA from 1 species